rnacentral:rRNA from 1 species
AAAUUGAAGAGUUUGAUCAUGGCUCAGAUUGAACGCUGGCGGCAGGCCUAACACAUGCAAGUCGAGCGGUAGCACAGAGAGCUUGCUCUCGGGUGACGAGCGGCGGACGGGUGAGUAAUGUCUGGGAAACUGCCUGAUGGAGGGGGAUAACUACUGGAAACGGUAGCUAAUACCGCAUAACGUCGCAAGACCAAAGUGGGGGACCUUCGGGCCUCAUGCCAUCAGAUGUGCCCAGAUGGGAUUAGCUAGUAGGUGGGGUAACGGCUCACCUAGGCGACGAUCCCUAGCUGGUCUGAGAGGAUGACCAGCCACACUGGAACUGAGACACGGUCCAGACUCCUACGGGAGGCAGCAGUGGGGAAUAUUGCACAAUGGGCGCAAGCCUGAUGCAGCCAUGCCGCGUGUGUGAAGAAGGCCUUCGGGUUGUAAAGCACUUUCAGCGGGGAGGAAGGCGAUAAGGUUAAUAACCUUGGCGAUUGACGUUACCCGCAGAAGAAGCACCGGCUAACUCCGUGCCAGCAGCCGCGGUAAUACGGAGGGUGCAAGCGUUAAUCGGAAUUACUGGGCGUAAAGCGCACGCAGGCGGUCUGUCAAGUCGGAUGUGAAAUCCCCGGGCUCAACCUGGGAACUGCAUUCGAAACUGGCAGGCUAGAGUCUUGUAGAGGGGGGUAGAAUUCCAGGUGUAGCGGUGAAAUGCGUAGAGAUCUGGAGGAAUACCGGUGGCGAAGGCGGCCCCCUGGACAAAGACUGACGCUCAGGUGCGAAAGCGUGGGGAGCAAACAGGAUUAGAUACCCUGGUAGUCCACGCCGUAAACGAUGUCGAUUUGGAGGUUGUGCCCUUGAGGCGUGGCUUCCGGAGCUAACGCGUUAAAUCGACCGCCUGGGGAGUACGGCCGCAAGGUUAAAACUCAAAUGAAUUGACGGGGGCCCGCACAAGCGGUGGAGCAUGUGGUUUAAUUCGAUGCAACGCGAAGAACCUUACCUGGUCUUGACAUCCACAGAACUUAGCAGAGAUGCUUUGGUGCCUUCGGGAACUGUGAGACAGGUGCUGCAUGGCUGUCGUCAGCUCGUGUUGUGAAAUGUUGGGUUAAGUCCCGCAACGAGCGCAACCCUUAUCCUUUGUUGCCAGCGGUCCGGCCGGGAACUCAAAGGAGACUGCCAGUGAUAAACUGGAGGAAGGUGGGGAUGACGUCAAGUCAUCAUGGCCCUUACGACCAGGGCUACACACGUGCUACAAUGGCAUAUACAAAGAGAAGCGACCUCGCGAGAGCAAGCGGACCUCAUAAAGUAUGUCGUAGUCCGGAUUGGAGUCUGCAACUCGACUCCAUGAAGUCGGAAUCGCUAGUAAUCGUAGAUCAGAAUGCUACGGUGAAUACGUUCCCGGGCCUUGUACACACCGCCCGUCACACCAUGGGAGUGGGUUGCAAAAGAAGUAGGUAGCUUAACCUUCGGGAGGGCGCUUACCACUUUGUGAUUCAUGACUGGGGUGAAGUCGUAACAAGGUAACCGUAGGGGAACCUGCGGUUGGAUCACCUCCUUACCUUAAAGAA